ACGCAAGCUAAUUAUCCAAUAUUGCACUAACAUUAGAAUUAAAAUAAUUAGAAGUAAAAUAAUUUUCUAUUUAAAGAAAUGGAAUAUAUACGUAUAAAUAUUUUGGAAAGUAUGGAAACUUCAAUAAAGUUCUUAUUAUAAUUUGAGCAAUGGAUAUUUUGUUAAAAUAGUAUGCUAUUGUUGAGCGACGUCCACUCUAACAUUUACAGUGUUAAAUUACUAAAGUAAUUUAUGCAUGCUGCAUUGUGCCGAUUCAACGCGGUAACUCGACGUCGGUCCCCCCCGAUCAUUCAAUGAACCUAUUAACGCCGCAUAAUUGACGCAAAGGCUAAGGCCGCGAAUCAGGAGCCAUUUCGUGGAAGUGAAGAAACAAGGUGGGAGAAUUACGCGCGACCUGUCCAGACAAAGGUUAAUUCAUGCGAAUACUCGGCGCAUACGCUUGUCGAAGCGACGAGUAAUGGACGGCCGGUAACUUGAGAAAUAUUCGAUUCCGUUCGACGUUUCAUUAAACCGCACGACGCCGCAGUCUCCGCAACGCGACGGCAUCUCGCCGCUGGACCGGGAGCCGGAGAAGGAUAGCGGGAUCGCGAGUCCAUCCCGCGAGAAGAGCGGAGAGAGGCGGGAAUGUGACGUGGAUGAACAGAGGAGGGGAAGAGAACGCGGGAGAGAACGAGGGAAAGAGGCUCUCUCUUUAUCGAGUACCCGGCAGACAAAUCCAGGCGGUCUUUCAUCUCCGUCUCUAAAUGCGAUACUCGAGAAAACGGACAUCACCCACAUACCUGUCCAGGCCAUUGGCUCCGCCGUGCCAACGCGAACGUACGCAUGCACGCAGCAAGCAAUCACGUACGCACGUACGAGACGCGCACACGUAAACGUCGCGCGUGAGAAGCGAACGAUUUGUGUACCUUGGAGUAUUAGGCAAACGAUACGGACCACUUAAGGAUUUCUUAACCAAUAGCCAUAGCAUUUCGCCAAAGGGGACACUCGAUCAGCUGCGACUGAGAGAGAAGCGCGCUCCAACAUGUCGGCUACCUAUUUAUGCACGCAUCAUUAAUCGCUCCAAAUAAAACGUAACUCGAAGUCGAUCAUGCCGAUAACGGAUCAUGCUCGUUCUAUGCUUUUCCUUUUCUGUAUAAAAUCCGCGAAACUCUUGCUCAAUGAAACGGAUACAAAAAAAAAAAAAAUUGUGGUACUAAGCUAUGAUUGAAAAUGUACGUUGGAAAAUUCAAUUAUUCUAGCCCGCGAAAAAUUUAAUUCUCUCUUCUCGGAAAAAAAAAUAAAUUCAGCUACAUCAUAGCGAUAAAUUAACGACACAAAACUCGGACAAAACGUUUCAUCCGAGAAUCUGCAAAUGAGAGAAAAACAUAAUUAAAUUCCUAAUUCCCUCAGAGAAACGUCCACAUUUCUCACUUAAAUAAUAAAGCGACCGGUAAUAUAGUUUUUCAAUGCAGAGAAAACGUUAAAAGCUGCUCUCUGGGUUCGUUGCAUGUUCAACUACACAGAAGAAACGUACGAGUAAUAUAUAUUCGAGUAAUAUAUAUUCUACAUGUUCUCAAAUUUCCGGAUGCUUAAACACAUUGUACGCGUUUAACAGUAAAUUCGUCACUCGCGUGCCAGAAUCCAUCUUCGAAGCUGCACCAAAAAGAGCACUAUUGUUCGAAUAUACUCCUUUAUGGCAGAAAUACCACAUUUCGCGAGGCAUCUUGCACGUAGGGUUCGCAUGCAAGAAAAUUGACUCACCGCAAAAAGAUGGAAAAGAGGACACCGUAAACUUUUCAGGACGUCCAUUAAGCAACGAGCAUGAAACUAAAUAUUUUGUAAAAAGAAUGUACGUUUGCAUAACGAAAAAUUGAAGAAAGAAAGUUUUAUCCCGUGAUCAUUAGUAUAAAAUCAAGAGCAACGAGAUCAACAUCCUGCUCGUAAGUAAGAUUAAUUUAAUGUCAUGUUGACAAGUUUUUGUGUUCACAGUUUUAGAAGAAGAUAAAUGUGUUGUGUGCAUAAAAUAAUGCUCCUAGUACGAUUCAACUGAGAAUUCUUAUAUCGCACAUGCGCGUUAUUAUUUUCGAAUGUUUUCGUGAAAGAGAACAGUGACAAUGAAAAGAUCGAGACAAUGAUUUUUAUACGAGGAAUGGUAUUACGUUCGAAUUCAGGCAGGUGCCAAUGGACAUGUUUAAAAUAACACACGGGGAAGUUAGCGCGAUGACAAUCCAAUUCCUUGGCGUCACGUAUCAACUUCACGAUCUUUCUUCAAAGAUAUUUGAUCGUGAGAUACGUUUACGUUGCUUGAUGGCGUAUCGUGGAAGAAACGAGAGACGCAAAGUGCGCACGUGUCUUUGGCAGAAAGUGACGGAAGAGUGAAGAGAGGGAGAGAAAAGAGGGAGAAAGAUGAAAUUUGGAGAUAUCGCAAUUUGGGGGCAAAAGCCCAGAGCAUUACCAUUUAAGGAACCAUCGCACGCAUUCGGAGAUUAAAGGGCAGAACGGAAGAUGGAAUAAUAAACGAGAGAAGGGAAGCACGCGCGCUAACGAGAUUUGGGUUUCUACCUGUCACGUCCUUUCGAUUCUAACUAAAGUCGAACUAAAAACCGACGGUUAACAAGGCGAUACAACGUUCAAAGUUAUCCAAAAAGAAACGCUGUCACGCAUUUUGAAAUGAUAAUUAUUUGAGAUUGCUGUAAUUAUUUGAGACGCCUGUAACUGCUCAACUUUAAUUAAAAAAAUAUCUUGAGUGUUCACAAAGUGCAAAAAAAUUGUUUAAUCUAGGAGGAUAAAUAAUUUACCAUAAUAUUUUAAUUAAAUGGUACGAGGUAAAAUUACGUAAAAUUUGUUCAAAGGAAGUUAAAUUUGUAAUAUUUUUACCUUGAGAUUAUCUGUUAAUAUAGAUAAUAAAACAUGUAAUUAAAAUUUUGUACCAGAAGGCGAAUAUAUUUCGUAUAUAAAUCCAAAAAAAUUAAUUAUGUAAACAAAAAGAAAUAUACAUAUGUAUACAUGUAAAAUUACUCAGUUAACUACUCUGUUUUAUUCUAAAUUUACACUCCUGAAAAGUCGAAUUUUAAAUAACUGUUAGCACACUCGUUUAUAGCCGUGAACUAUUUUCGUCAGUAGACUUCGCCUGCUGCUUAUAAAACGAAUGAUACGGAGAGAAUAGGUAAAUGCACUGUAAGUAUAAAAUGUCGCUUAAAUGUAGAAUGUUCCUCGGAAAUAAGAGGUCAUAAAGAAGUAAAGUCGUAAGCCAUAAAAUCGGUGCCGUCCAGCGAAUGUUCUACAAUCGUGUAAGUUUAUAACUUCAUUGUGCCAUCGUAGAUAAGAGAAUACCUUAGUAGAAAGUGACGAUGCCCUCGCGAUUGUCGCGAUUGUCGUUCGCUAGAAAAAUAACGUUUCUCCCCGCGCAGAUUCCAUUUCCGUACAGGAUAUCGCAGAAAUUUAACAAUUUCUCUUGCGUUAUUUUUGCUUUCCGAUACUCGGAAAUGCUGCGGUAUGCCGUUUUAAUAUCUUUUCAUGCUUUAGAAAGUCCUACAUUUUACGUUCACUCUGGAAUAAAAUAUGCCAGAAUGCACGGCUUGAAGUGCGUAAUACCAGAUUAAAUUCUCCAAAAAAAUGUUAGAAAGGAUCUUUCUCUAAUUCUCCGAGUUUAUUGGCUGUGCAUUUACUAGCGAAGCGCGAUCAACAUAAUGCUACGCGGAGAGAAAAAGUUACUCAAUGAAUAUUCGCUCGAAUAGUUACAAUGAAAUACUUACUAAAUGCAAAUAAAUAUUUAUAAUAUUUAGUAGAAGAACUAUUAAUUUAAUUUAACUAUUGUUUUUUUAUUGAAUAAAUAUUUAUGUACCGUAAGCAAACGUUUCAUUGCAAUUAUACUCAAACAAAUAUUUAUUAAAAUUUAAUAAUUUUUUCUCUCAGUGUACACUUCUUAAACGUCUGACAAUAAUUGUGAACUGUAAAAUUACGGACAGUAAUUAUAAAUGUAAUGGAGUAUUUAUUUUUUUUUUAAAUUUAGCUUUAAAGUUUUUUAUAUGUCGAGGCUGUAAGGUGAAUGUUAUUAUCGCUUUCUAAGUUGAAGACCAAACCCGCCCGUGGCAGUACGUUUAUUACUGCGUAAUGACCAAAACCAUCUUGGUCACGCUUCAAAACGGUAAACGAAACGGCCGCCGGCGAAUCGGGAAAGUGUGAUUGGAAUUGACCAGGGAGGGCAGAGGACUCGCUGCCUCGUAAACUAACGAGACGUCGAAGCGGUAAUGCCGGCCAUAAUUCGCGACGAGUUACGGAGCAAACGGCCGCGUCGUCGCGUAGUCGUGCGCUUUGAGAUGGCAUAAUUGGUAUAUAAAGUAGAAAUUAAGUUGGCAACUGCGGAGUGAA